rnacentral:rRNA from 1 species
GACGAACGCUGGCGGCGUGCUUAACACAUGCAAGUCGAACGGAAAGGCCCUGCUUUUGUGGGGUGCUCGAGUGGCGAACGGGUGAGUAACACGUGAGUAACCUGCCCUUGACUUUGGGAUAACUUCAGGAAACUGGGGCUAAUACCGGAUAGGAGCUCCUGCUGCAUGGUGGGGGUUGGAAAGUUUCGGCGGUUGGGGAUGGACUCGCGGCUUAUCAGCUUGUUGGUGGGGUAGUGGCUUACCAAGGGUUUGACGGGUAGCCGGCCUGAGAGGGUGACCGGGCACAUUGGGACUGAGGUAGGGCCCAGACUCCAACGGGAGGCAGCAGUGGGGAAUAUUGCACAAUGGGCGGAAGCCUGAUGCAGCAACGCCGCGUGCGGGAUGACGGCCUUCGGGUUGUAAACCGCUUUCGCCUGUGACGAAGCGUGAGUGACGGUAAUGGGUAAAGAAGCACCGGCUAACUACGUG